CGUAGGGUGCGAGCGUUAAUCGGAAUUACUGGGCGUAAAGCGUGCGCAGGCGGUUUUGUAAGACAGAUGUGAAAUCCCCGGGCUCAACCUGGGACCUGCAUUUGUGACUGCAAGGCUAGAGUACGGUAGAGGGGGAUGGAAUUCUGCGUGUAGCAGUGAAAUGCGUAGAUAUGCGGAGGAACACCGAUGGCGAAGGCAAUCCCCUGGACCUGUACUGACGCUCAUGCACGAAAGCGUGGGGAGCAAACAGGAUUAGAUACCCUGGUAGUCCACGCCCUAAACGAUGUCAACUGGUUGUUGGGUCUUUACUGACUCAGUAACGAAGCUAACGCGUGAAGUUGACCGCCUGGGGAGUACGGCCGCAAGGUUG
rnacentral:rRNA from 1 species